AAAGUAAAUCAAUUAUUCUAUUACAUGAACAGUAAAAAUUAUAGAGACAAUAAUGUUUUAUCAAAUAUAUAUUGAAUGUCCAAAGAUAACGUGUAUAUUUAAUAUAUUAUUUGUCUAAUCAAAUUUAAAGGCAUUUAAUUUAGGAAAAUAUAUUAUAGUAUCUACCCAAAUAAGAACUAUACUAUACUUUAAUUGUUUAACUUGUCUGAAUCUAUUUUAGUUUGACUAUGUAUAUAUUAUUUUGCAGCUAUUACUCCUCAUUUGCUAGCUUCAUCUAUUAUUGCAUUCGAUGGGCUAAACUUCUCUGAAUGGUGUAAGCAAGUCAAGUUUCAUUUAAGUGACUUGGAACUUGACUUAGCUUUAUUGGAAAACAAACCUGCUGCUAUUAUAGAUACAAGCAGUGAAUAAGAGAAAUUGUACCAUAAGCAAUGGAAAUAGUCAAAUAGAUUAAGCCUAAUGUUUCUGUGAAUUACUGUUGUUAUUAAGACAAUAAUUCCACAAACUAAAAUGCGAAAAAACACCUUAAUUUGGUGGAAGAAUGAUUUCGUUCUACAAACAAGUCACUCACUGGUACUUUAAUGGCACAACUCACGACCAUGAAGUAUAAUGGGUCGAAGAGUAUGCACAAGCACAUUACAGGAUUGAGUGACAUUGUAGCAAGGCUAAAGACUUUAAGAAUAGAGGUGGAUGAUUCCCUCUUGGUGCAUUUCAUUCUAAACUCGCUACCUCCUAAAUAUGGGCCAUUUCAAAUCAAUUACAACAUUAUUAAGGAUAAGUGGAAUGUUACUAAAUUAGCUAGUAAGCUAAUUUUGGAGAAAAUGAGACUAAAGAAUCAAGAGACUCAUUCUGUCAAUAUUGUGGAUCAAGUAGUUGUUAAAGGACUUAAACCAAAGGCUAACAAGUUUAAGAAGAAAUAAAAAGGAUGUUCAGAUAGUUCUCAAGCUGAGAAAAAUGAUCAAAUGGCAUAUAAGUGUUGCUUCUAUAAGAAAGUAAGAUAUGAUUAGAAAGAUUGCUUGAAAUGUAAAGCUUGUUUCGAAAAGAAAGGUAUUUCUUAUGCUUAUGUAUGUUUCGAAUUAAACUUAAUUGAAGUUCCCAAUAAUACUUGAUAGCUUAAUCAGGGAUUUCUUAUGAUCUAAAUCACAAACCCAACUAAAGAUUUCCUAUUUAUGGGGAACCGAAUGAAAGCUCAAAUUGAAGACAUAAGAACUGACCGUUUGAUCUUGGGUAAUGGUUACCACUUAGAUUUUUUACAAACUAUCUAUACACCUUCAGUUUCUAAUAAUGUUAACUAUUUCAAAACUCGAUAAAUCUAAUUUUAAUGUUAAGUUUGGAUAUGGAUGUUUCAGUUUAUUUAAUAAUAAUAAUAAUAAAUAUUCCAUUAUUGAUUCUGCGAUUCUUACUGAUGUUUUGUAUAAGCUAAAACUUAAUGAUAAUUUUGUUGAAUCCUUACUUAUCACUUAUAGCAAUGUUGGGAUUAAGCGUAGUAGACUGAAUGA
rnacentral:misc_RNA from 1 species